rnacentral:rRNA from 1 species
GAUGAACGCUAGCUACAGGCUUAACACAUGCAAGUCGAGGGGCAGCAUGGUCUUAGCUUGCUAAGGCCGAUGGCGACCGGCGCACGGGUGAGUAACACGUAUGCAACCUGCCCGCCACAGGGGGAUAAGCGGAAGAAAUUCCGUCUAAUACCGCGUGACGCGGCGCCGGGGCAUCCCGGUGCCGCCAAAGGGAUUACCGGUGGCGGAUGGGCAUGCGGCGCAUUAGCUAGUCGGCGGGGUAACGGCCCACCGAGGCGACGAUGCGUAGGGGUUCUGAGAGGAAGGUCCCCCACACUGGUACUGAGACACGGACCAG